GCAAACCCUAAAAAACAAAUACAAUACACACAAGUCAAUUAGAUUUAAGCAAAUCAUGCAAAAAUUAUUCUAAAAACACUUUCAUACAUUUCUUCGAAUACAAAUCCUGUCGUAUAAAGAUCAAAGAAAAACAAUCGGAUGGAGUCUUUACAUCGAGGUUCGAUGGCGUCGCCCGCACCGGCGGAAUUGAUAGAAAAUUGACCCUUGCAGGAUGGCACUAGUUCCGAUAGAACUGGGUUGAUUAUCGUCGUAAUUUCCUUCAAACUCUAGAACAAAUCCGGUUCCGUGGUAUUGACUGUCGGUAGCAAAAUGAAUAAUGGCCACGGAUCCAUUCACUCUGACCGGAGUCCCAUCAUGUUUUCUGUUUCAGAGUUUAAUAAAAAUUAACACUUCGAAAAAAUUUGGAAUGAAUUGGUAAAAUUGUUACAGUUGAAUUUUAUCCAUUAUUCUAGGGUCGUUAUCCAACUCGGUAAGAACAUGACUGAACCCACUGAUAUGGACAUAAUCAUUUGUAUCAGUAGAAAGACCAGAUUCGACAAGGCGGAAGGUGAUUGAAGAUGCCUCUCGAACUCGAACUAUCCACAAACAUCGUUCCCAACUGCUGUACGUUUCAUUUAAUUUGUAGGAUAUUCGCCCGCUGAGGCCUUCUAGAAUUUCUCCACAAACCGAAGCUGUGGACACAAUAAGAUUUAAAAUGUAAAUUUACGAACGAUGGGAAUUCAUUCGUUUAUUGAUUAUGUAUUACAUUCUGGAAAUGGAUCAUCCGUAGUUGAAGGAGCCGUAGUUGAAGUAGUAGUGUCAUCAAAUUUUGGAUAAUAGUCCAGCUCUAUCCUCCCCCCGGACGUACUGUUUCCAUCGCCAUCAGUAAACAAAGCUACGACAAAUUGUGACCUAACCCCUUGAAGUAAAACUGGGCUAGUCAUUGUUGAACAAAUCCUAGUCAAGGAUAAAAUGGGCCCAUUUUGAGAAAGUGUAAUCUCAUAAAGAAAAAGAGCGUCACAAAAGCAAGAAUCUUCCCCGAUUGAGCAAGCCUGAAGUUCCAACCGGUUUAAUGCAAUGUCGACCGAGCCGUCAACCUCCUCCCCUUUCACGAGCCAGGUUGAAAUCAAGUUAUUCUCGUAGUUGCCAUUCACCGGGUAUUUAAUGGUUCCUGAGGAACUUUGAAUAAAGUUGGAGACAUGUUUGGGUCUCGAUGUGUCAAACGCGGACCCUUCCCAGGAAAGUGUGAAGAGGAAGAGUUCGCAGAUUGAUCAGGGCCCGCAUAAAAUAUCACGGCGAUGGCAGACCGUCCCAAGAAAACGGUAUUAGUUGGUGGUGAUUGGUCACAAAAUCUGUAAUGCAUGUGUAUUGUUAUACAAAGGCCACAUAUAAAAAUACUUAAUUUAUACAUAGGAUGGUAUUUAUUUAUUGCAUACGUGUAAGAUUCUGGCUCUGGGCCAAAUACCAAAUUGGUCAGUGAAUAUAGUCUAAUUCCUGAUGUGGAACAGUUUGCGUUAUUUUCUGAGGUGAUGUUAAAAUUGUCAAAGGUCAACCUAAAAUCUUGCAGUGUUUGAAGGUGAAUUAUCCAAGUGCAUAUUUCCCCUGGAGUAGCAGUCGACCCUGCUUCAGGGUACGUCAGCGAUCCGGAGUUAGCUUGAAUGCUCCCACCACAGCCAACAAAUUUAGGCUGUGAUAGAGCAGAAGCUGAAAGUAGGGUGGAUAAAAUAAAGAAACACGACAGGUUUGACACCCCCAUUUUUGAGGUUGUCGACGCUCUCUUGGUUGAUGCUCUUCAAAUGACAAGUGCUACAAUGAGGUGACUGAUGUAUAUCAAUUAUUUUUGAUUGAUCAUUACGUCAGAAAUGUAAUCGAUUGCUUACUUAUCUAUCGGUAAGUGUGGCUGGUCAAGAGGUGCAGAUGUAUUUUAAGUAGUGACGUUAUGGAUUUUUCUACUUUGAUACGUAAUAUACAUACAGAUAAAUGUACAUACUUAUUUAUCAUGUAUGGAUGAUUAUACGUUUGUACGUUUGUAAAUGUGUAGCAUACUCGGUUUGUGGAAUUUAGAUUGAAUAAGGCACGAAUUAUUUCAUGUUUCUCAUACGUGGAUAUAAAUCACCAAUCGAGCUGCAUGAUUUUCAAAUUGAUUUAAUCGGUCACAAAUUAUAAUUAUCUACUUUGUAUAUUUUUGAUGUAUGUUCAAUGGUAUGAUUUAUUUGCAUUCGGACAAUGAAUUCAGGGGGCGACGUUGAAAGCCUCCGUCUCGCUGGUCAAUCCUUGUGGAUCAUUCCUGAUAUCUGGCGUCUUGAAGUCUACCUGAACCGUCCAUGACCCCGCUUGUGCAUCAACCUCAAACAAAUC